GCGGGUAUGGUUCAAUGGUAGAACGUCAGCCUUCCAAGCUGAACACAAGGGUUCGAUUCCCUUUACCCGCU
rfam:Clostridium homopropionicum DSM 5847 CLHOM_contig000060, whole genome shotgun sequence.